rnacentral:rRNA from 1 species
GGACGAACGCUGGCGGCGUGCCUACUACAUGCAAGUAGAACGCACAGUUUAUACCGUAGCUUGCUACACCAUAGACUGUGCGUUGCGAACGGGUGAGUAACGCGUAGGUAACCUGCCUGGUAGCGGGGGAUAACUAUUGGAAACGAUAGCUAAUACCGCAUAAUAUUGAUUAUUGCAUGAUAAUUGAUUGAAAGAUGCUAUUGCAUCACUACCAGAUGUACCUGCGUUGUAUUAGCUAGUAGGCGAGGUAACGGCUCACCUAGGCGACGAUACAUAGCCGACCUGAGAGGGUGAUCGGCCACACUUGGACUGAGACACGGCCCAGACUCCUACGGGAUGCAGCAGGAGGGAAUCUUCGGCAAUGGACGAAAGUCUGACCGAGCAACGCCGCGUGAGUGAAGAAGGUUUUCGGAUCGUAAAGCUCUGUUGUAAGAGAAGAACGGGUGUGAGAGUGGAAAGUUCACACUGUGACGGUAUCUUACUAGAAAGGGACGGCUAACUACGUG